rnacentral:rRNA from 1 species
AUUGAACGCUGGCGGCAGGCCUAACACAUGCAAGUCGAACGAGGGGCGGACGGGGGGGGAAUGUCUGGGAAACUGCCUGAAGGAGGGGGAUAACUACUGGAAACGGUAGCUAAUACCGCAUAGCCUCAGAUGUGACCAGAUGGGAUUAGCUAGUUGGUGGGGUAACGGCUCACCAAGGCGACGAUCCCUAGCCGGCCGGAGAGGAGGACCGGCCACACUGGAACGGAGACACGGUCCAGACUCCUACGGGAGGCAGCAGUGGGGAAUAUUGCACAAUGGGCGCAAGCCUGAUGCAGCCAUGCCGCGUGUAUGAAGAAGGCCUUCGGGUUGUAAAGUACUUUCAGCGGGGAGGCGUUACCCGCAGAAGAAGCACCGGCUAACUCCGUGCCAGCCGCCGCGGUAAUAC